CGAUGCUACAACAUAAAUUAUAAGAAAAUUAUGAUGUAGACAUUUUUCACAGUAUAGAAGAUUAAGUUACCAUUGGCUUCCCUAGCCCUAAAUGCAAAUACAUUCCUAUAUUCUAAUUUUUUUUUUUUGAGACAGAGUCUUGCUCUGUUGCCCAGGCUGGAGUGCAAUGGCACGAUCUCAGCUCACUGCAACCUUUGCCUCCCAGGUUCAAGCAACCAAGCAAUUCUCCUGCCUCAGCCCCCCAACUAGCUGGGAUUACAGGCGACUACAACCACACCUGGCUAAUUUUUUGUAUUUUUAGUAGAGACGGGGUUUCACUAUGUGGGCCAGGCUGGUCUCAAACUCCUGACCUCAGGCGAUCCACCUGCCUCGGCCUCCCAAAGGGCUGGGAUUACAGGCGUGAGCCACCGUGCCCGGCCACAUUCCUAUAUUCUAAACGGAAUGAACUUGAAGAUGUGGUGUACUCCUAAGGAACUUUAUGUUAAUAUUUGCCAAAAGUCAAAAUACAUAUCAUAAGGUUUUAGAUCUCUAUGAUAUAGUUCUGAAAAAUCAAUUUUUGUGCCAAAAGAGAUCCAGGCUACCUGACUUUUGUGCAUCUAGAAAAAGAGAUGAAGAAUUCUCUCAUGAUCACACUGGCAUACACACAAAUGCACCACCACACACAUACACACACACAAGUACAUUCUCACAUGCAUAAAUACCAUAAACAAUCAACACACUGGUUUUCUAUGCCUUUUUUUGUGGUUGAAGAACCUUGUGUGUGAGUCUACUUUACAAUUUUGGUACUAAUGUAUGAAUCUUUUUACCUUUUACUCCUAGAUAUUAGACCUAAGCUGCUUAUACCAAAUCCUCAGUAUGGCAGAAUAUUAUGAUGAGAAGCUUUAUUAAUAAAAUAAUACCAUCCCACAGGUUGUCACCAAAUUAUUAAAUAAAAAGGAAACAACCUAGAAGAAAAAGAGAAGGAAAAAAGAGAAAAGGAGAGGAAGAAAAAUGUGAACAAAAGAAUCUGGGAUGCAAACAUAGGAAAAAAGGCUUAAAGAAAAAAAUAUGGUAGGAAUGGGAAGGAGGGAAAAUAAUAGAAGGGAAAAGGAUAUUAACAUGCAAAGCAAAUCCGAAAGUCUUUAUGAAGAAAAGGAAUCAGGAUGAAAGAGGUAUGUGAUAUCAAAAAGAAAUACUGACAACUGAGUAGAUAAUAAAGGGAAACACUUAAAAACUCAGCAGUGGAUUCUUGAGUAAGCUAGAGGGAAAAGAAAGGCAAGAACAGAUAAAAGGAGUAAAAUAAGGAGAGGAAGAAGUCAAAUUUCAUGCUCUGUUAUGUUAUCACAGGAUGCUACACUGAGUAACUCCUACAGUCUUUUCCGCCUGAAAGUCUGACAGUGAUGCUUAACUAGGUAAUGCUAUGGGAAAGCAAGGUGCAAACAAGUCUAGCAGGAAGAAAGAAAUGACUAUGUUUGACUUUAGUGCUCUGCAGUGGUUGAACAAAUUGAGCUGUGUCUCUGUUUCUACUAUUUGAUAGCAACAACAAAAGGUUUACAAAGCACUUUCACAUCCACUGUCUUAUUUGUUUCUCAAAAUUCCCUCAGGAAGUUCUUAUUAUCGCCCACAUUUUGGCAGGAAAAUCUGAGACCCAGUCACAUUAGGCGUUCUGUCUAGCUGUUAAGUGGCAGAGUUGAGAUCCAACCUUGGGUCUCCUGAAUCCAACUCCAGGCUCUUUCCUGGAGAAAUUUACCAACCAUUUUAUCACUAGUUAGUUACCACUCGUUAAACUCAUAUAUUUUCUGGUUCUAAAACCUAUGCUGUGCCCAAAUUUGCUGGUGAAGUACUGGGUUUCAGAAGAGAAUGAUAGUUUUUGCCUCUGUUAUGUUUCCCCAACGAACUUCCCAUUUCUUUUGGGCUUCCGCAUCCACAGGUAACUUGAAAGGGGAGCCAGGCAUUCCGAUGGCUGGGGUUGGGGUGAUGGGGAUGGUGAUGAGGAGGGCAAUGGAGAAGUAUUUAAUGAAAAGCAACCAAUCUAUUCCAUGUACCUUGGUAAUUAAAGAAACCUCUGGACUUUUUCUCAUUGUUGGAUGGAAUGACAGUUCCAAUGAAGAAGUUUGCAAUAGCAAUUAGAAGAAUGACCAGAAGAAUCACUUGGGCCUGGAAUGCAAAGUGUUAACUGCAGGAGUUCGAGAAUGCAGAAUGAUGAACAGAAUUCCUGUGAUUCCCAGUGCACUUGACGUCAGGCUGCUGCGGUGUGCUCAGCACAAGCAGUCUGCAGGGUUAACUGGCCAGAUGGUCUUCCUUCAGCCCCUCCAAUGCUGUAAGGUGUUUAUGGCUUGGUGUUGCCAUAUGCUGUUUCCUUUACCUGGAAAGCACUUCACUCUACUUCUUGCAUAGCUAUUUCCUUCUUUUCAUCCUUUAAGUCUUAGUUACCUCCUCAGAGAGGCCUUUCUUGACAACUUAAUCAUUUAUGUUUUAUUAUUUUGUUUUGUAUUGUUUUAUUUUAUUUUGUUUUCCCGAGAUGGAGUCUCACUCUGUCGCCCAGGCUGGAAUGCAAUGGUGCGAUCUCGGCUCACUGAAACCUCUACUUUCUGGGUUCAAGCAAUUCUCCUGCCUCAGCCUCCCGAGUAGCUGGGAUUACAGGCAUACGCCACCCUGGCUAAUUUUGUAUUUUUAGUAGGGACAGGGUUUCACCAUGUUGGCCAGGCUGGUCUCGAACUCCUGACUUCGUGAUCUGCCCGCCUCAGCCUCCCAAAGUGCUGGGAUUACAGGUGUGUGCCACCGUGCCCGGCCCAUUUAAAUAAUAACAGCUAUCUGUUCACUGAGGGCUUACAAUAGAACAGAUGCAGAUUUAACUUUACCUGUAUUCUUUUAGGUAAAUAAUACCACUAACAAACUGACAGCCUUAUGGAAUAGGCAAUAUUAUUAUCCUCAUUUUAAAGGUAAAGACACUGAAGCACUGGGAGGUUAAAUAAUUUACUGAAGGCCGCAGAGAUAUAAACUGGAUUCAAAUUCAGGCACUCUAACUACAGAGCUGGAGCUUUAAAUGCUACCCUCUACUGCUACUAAACUUCAUCGCCUCACUCAGGGAAUAAAGUUAUCUAAAGUAGGGUUCUCCUUUGUUUUUUCAUCACAGUGUCCUGUUGAUACUAAUUUUCACAAAUUCCCUUUUUAUAUUUAUUUCUUUAUUUGCUUGCUUAGUAUUGAUCUCUUCAUAGACCAUAUAUAGGGAUUAGGCUUGUUUUGGUCGCAGGUGAAUAUCAGUGCCUAGAAGAAUGCUCAACACAUGGAAGGCACUAACUUUAUUUUUGUUGAAUGUGUGAAUGCAUAAUCUACAAAUAAAUGCCACGUAGGAAUGUUUUCUAUUGACUUAUAGGUGGGCGGCUUUGGCUGUCUUUCCACAUCUCAUGACUGCUUGAGAUCUAGUUACUUCAUCCACAGGCACGUAGGAAUAUUUUCAAUUGUACCAGUCACUUGAGGGAAUUACAAAGGAGGCAAAAGACAUGUUUCCCAUCAUUCAGAAAUUUACUAUCCAUUUUAUCACUAGUUAAACUCAGAGAUUUUCUGGUUCUAAAGCCUAUGAGCCUAAAUUUGCUGGUGAAGUACUGGCUUUCAGAAGAGAAUCAUAGUUUUUGCCUCUCUUAUGUUCCCAACACUCUUGCCAUUUCUCUUGGGCUUUUGCACCCACAGGCAGCUUGAAAGAAGAACCAGGGUUUGUGAUUGAGAGACCCAGGCUUCCAGCGUGCACCACUGCUAUGAUCAUAAGGGGUCUGUGCAUAAGGCAGCCACCUUGGUGACAGCACAGAGAGGCAAAAUACAGCAAUCAUGUGACUCGUGAGCCCUGAGUCAUGACUGCCUGGGCUUCGUGCUUUGCAGGCUUGGUGAUCCACCUAGCACUUGCCUGCUCAUUUCACCAUAGCAGCUACUGAAAUUCCUAGAAGAAUCACCACUGUGAUGGAGCCUAUAAUCCGGAUGUCAUUGGUUGGAUCCACCAUCAUCGAAUCACUCUCCUGGG